rnacentral:rRNA from 1 species
UGCCAGACUCCUACGGGAGGCAGCAGUGGGGAAUAUUGGGCAAUGGACGCAAGUCUGACCCAGCAACGCCGCGUGAAGGAAGAAGGCUUUCGGGUUGUAAACUUCUUUUAAGGGGGAAGAGUAGAAGACGGUACCCCUUGAAUAAGCCACGGCUAACUACGUGCCAGCAGCCGCGGUAAUACGUAGGGGGCAAGCGUUAUCCGGAUUUACUGGGUGUAAAGGGAGCGUAGACGGCCAGACAAGUCUGAAGUGAAAAUCCAGCGCUUAACGUUGGAAGUGCUUUGGAAACUGCCGGGCUGGAGUGCAGGAGGGGCAGGCGGAAUUCCUAGUGUAGCGGUGAAAUGCGUAGAUAUCAGGAGGAACACCGGUGGCGAAGGCGGCCUGCUGGACUGCAACUGACGUUGAGGCCCGAAAGCGUGGGGAGCAAACAGGAUUAGAUACCCCCGUA